rnacentral:rRNA from 1 species
GACUAAGCCAUGCAAGUCAAAUGUUCUUCGUGAACAUGGCGGACUGCUCAGUAACACGUGGAUAACCUGCCCUUAGGAUUGGCAUAACACCGGGAAACUGGUGAUAAUACCGAAUAGACCAUUUAUGCUGGAAUGCUUUUUGGUUCAAAGGCUUCGGCUGCCUAAGGAUGGAUCUGCGGCCUAUCAGGUAGUAGUGGGUGUAAUGUACCUACUAGCCUACGACGGGUACGGGUUGUGAGAGCAAGAGCCCGGAGAUGGAUUCUGAGACAUGAAUCCAGGCCCUACGGGGCGCAGCAGGCGCGAAAACUUUACAAUGCGGGAAACCGCGAUAAGGGGACACUGAGUGCCAGCAUAUUAUGUUGGCUGUCCCCAUGUAUAAAAACCAUGUGUUAGCAAGGGCCGGGCAAGACCGGUGCCAGCCGCCGCGGUAACACCGGCGGCCCGAGUGGUGAUCACUUUUAUUGGGUCUAAAGGGUCCGUAGCCGGUUUGAUCAGUCCUCCGGGAAAUCUGACAGCUCAACUGUUAGGCUUCCGGGGGAUACUGUCAGACUUGGGACCGGGAGAGGUAAGAGGUACUACAGGGGUAGGAGUGAAAUCUUGUAAUCCCUGUGGGACCACCAGUGGCGAAGGCGUCUUACCAGAACGGGUCCGACGGUGAGGGACGAAAGCUGGGGGCACGAACCGGAUUAGAUACCCGGGUAGUCCCAGCCGUAAACGAUGUUCGCUAGGUGUCAGGGACGGUGCGACCGUUUCUGGUGCCGUAGGGAAGCCGUGAAGCGAACCACCUGGGAAGUACGGCCGCAAGGCUGAAACUUAAAGGAAUUGGCGGGGGAGCACUACAACGGGUGGAGCCUGCGGUUUAAUUGGAUUCAACGCCGGA